UAAGCACCGGCUAACUACGUGCCAGCAGCCGCGGUAAUACGUAGGGUGCAAGCGUUAAUCGGAAUUACUGGGCGUAAAGCGUGCGCAGGCGGUUUGGUAAGUUUGAUGUGAAAUCCCCGGGCUCAACCUGGGAACUGCAUUUGAAACUGCCGAGCUAGAGUAUGGCAGAGGGGAGUGGAAUUCCACGUGUAGCAGUGAAAUGCGUAGAGAUGUGGAGGAACACCGAUGGCGAAGGCGGCUCCCUGGGCUGAUACUGACGCUCAUGCACGAAAGCGUGGGGAGCAAACAGGAUUAGAUACCCUGGUAGUCCACGCCCUAAACGAUGUCUAC
rnacentral:rRNA from 1 species